UCCGGUUUGACACCGGCAGUCUCGCUAGAGUCCUUCCCGAUUGCUCGGGGAUAGCAACUAGAGAUAGGGGUUUCGCUCGUUAAGGGACUUAACCCGACACUUCACAGCACGAGCUGACGACAGCCAUGCAGCACCUGUGUAUGUUGUACCCGAAGGCCUUAGUCGUGUUUCCACGACCUAAUCCAUACAUGUCAAGCCCAGGAUAAGGUUCUUCGCGUUGCUUCGAAUUGAGCCACAUGCUCCACCGCUUGUGUGAGCCCCCGUCAAUUCCUUUGAGUUUUAGCCUUGCGACCGUACUCCCCAGGCGGUGUACUUAGCACUUUAGCUUCGACCAUGGGGGCGUCAGAGCCUCCACGAUCUAGUACACAUCGUUUAGGGCGUGGACUA
rnacentral:misc_RNA from 1 species